GUUUCGGUGGCAUAAUGGUUAGAGCGUCCGUCUCAGAUGCGGAGGAGGUCGUGGGUUCGAUCUCCGGUCGAGUCA